rnacentral:rRNA from 1 species
UCCUACGGGGGGCAGCAGUAAGGAAUAUUGGUCAAUGGACGCAAGUCUGAACCAGCCAUGCCGCGUGAAGGAUGAAGGUCCUCUGGAUUGUAAACUUCUUUUAUAGGGGGCGAAAAAAGGUCUUUCUAGAUCACUUGACAGUACCCUAUGAAUAAGCACCGGCUAACUCCGUGCCAGCAGCAGCGGUAAUACGGAGGGUGCAAGCGUUAUCCGGAUUCACUGGGUUUAAAGGGUGCGUAGGCGGGUAGGUAAGUCAGAGGUGAAAUCCUGGAGCUUAACUCCAGAACUGCCUUUGAUACUAUCUAUCUUGAAUAUGGUGGAGGUAAGCGGAAUAUGUCAUGUAGCGGUGAAAUGCAUAGAUAUGACAUAGAACACCUAUUGCGAAGGCAGCUUACUACGCCUAUAUUGACGCUGAGGCACGAAAGCGUGGGGAUCAAACAGGAUUAGAUACCCGAGUAGUCGCA